rnacentral:rRNA from 1 species
GAUGAACGCUGGCGGCGUGCUUAACACAUGCAAGUCGAACGGAAAGGCCCAAGCUUGCUUGGGUACUCGAGUGGCGAACGGGUGAGUAACACGUGGGUGAUCUGCCCUGCACUUCGGGAUAAGCCUGGGAAACUGGGUCUAAUACCGGAUAGGACGAUGGUUUGGAUGCCAUUGUGGAAAGUUUUUUCGGUGUGGGAUGAGCUCGCGGCCUAUCAGCUUGUUGGUGGGGUAAUGGCCUACCAAGGCGUCGACGGGUAGCCGGCCUGAGAGGGUGUACGGCCACAGUGGGACUGAGAUACGGCCCAGACUCCUACGGGAGGCAGCAAUGGGGAAUAUUGCACAAUGGGCGCAAGCCUGAUGCAGCGACGCCGCGUGGGGGAUGACGGCCUUCGGGUUGUAAACUCCUUUCGCUAGGGACGAAGCGUUUUUGUGACGGUACCUGGAGAAGAAGCACCGGCUAACUACGUG